GUGCGUCCGGAGCCUGUGCUCAGCAAUGGGAGAGGCCACAGCAGUGAGAGGCCUGCGUACCGCAAAAAAAAAAAAAAAAAAAAUACAGACAAAUGAUUAAGAACUAUAUGAACACUGGGAGUUCCCUGGUGGCCUAGUGGUUAGGAUUCCGGGCUUUCACUGCUGUGGCCAAGGGUUCAAUCCCUGGUUGGGGAACUGAGGUCCCUCAAGGCGUGGCAUGGCCAAAAAAGAAAAGAAAUGAAAAAGAACUGUAUGUAUAGACAAAGCUCAUACAAAUUGCUAAAGGGGCAAAAAACACAGUUUUAAAAAAAAAAGAUGUAAAAUGAAAAGAGCGUCUCCCUCCGAUCUUGUCCUCCAAUUCUUCACAGGCAACCGUUGUUACCAGCUUCUAAGGCCCUCCAAAGACAUUCCAUGCUUAAGUCAUCAAAUACAUUUGUGUAUUCUUUUUUAAGUAUAAAUUAAAGCAUAGUAACGUACUAUUCUGCAUUUUGAAAAUUUUUUUCAUAUCACAGAAGAGCUGUACAUCAGUACAGAAAGCUCUAAUUUUUAAAAUAAGCACAUAUUCUCUUUUAUGGAACCCAUCAUGAUUUAAGUGGUCAUCUACUGAUGGACAUUUAUAUUGUUCUGGGGUUGGUUUUUUUUUUUCCAUUUCAAGUAAUGCUUAAGUACCCUUGUAUAUACUUUCUUGUGCACACAUGGCCACUAAUUCCGUAGGACAUAUUUGUAGAAUUGCCGAAGCAAAUUCAUUCUUCGUUUUUAAUUCUGAAGGGCACUGCCUAAUUUCCUUGUAAGAAGUUGCACUAAUUUACAACGAAUGGGAAUGCCUGUUUAUGUUCUUAUAGGACUGUCCAACCUGCACAUCAGUCACCUCAUAUGAACCUUGCAACACUCUCAGAGGAGAAAGGGGAGCCAUUACAAUUACUACCGUUUUAGAAAUAAGGAAACUGAGGCUCAGAGAAGUAACUGGGUCUCCGACAGAGCCUGAAUUAGGUUUCUAGAUCUCAGUCCAGAGGCCUAACUCGGGAAUGGAGAAGGUGGUUCCAGGUCAGUCAACGCACUGGGCAGGGGAAGCCGGAGGGAUGGUCAGGACAGGCCCUGCUCACGGGGUCCCAGUUUAACUCCCACCCGAUAUAGGAGCCUCUUUUAGGGGCCGGCCCGACUAGAACACUUGUGCGACGAGGAGCUCGGGUCCCUCGGGCAGCCGGUCCCUCCUGGGUCAGCUCCCACCUCCACAACGUUCUCCCUCCGUCGGGGCCGGCUCGACCCGGCCUGGGACGAGUCACGAGCCAGGGCGUCCCCUCAAGAGAAACUACCUUUCAGGCCCCGGCGGCCUCUCCUACGCCGGCAGCGCCCAAAAAGGGCCCAGGGCGGCGGGUAACCCUGCGUCUCUGAACGGACCGCGACGCUGGAGCGCCAUCUCGCGUCCGUUCCUCUGGCCACCAGAUGACAGCCCGGAAACCACAUUUCCCAUUGUGCCUAGCGCGUCCGCGCAGGCGCAAAGAGCUUUUUUUUUUUUUUUCCCGUUUCCAGGGCAACCUAGCCCUCCUCGGUCCAGGUGGCUAGACCCUGCGGAGGGUCGAGCCGUUGCUCCCCGUCAGGUGUCCCGGCGCCAGGACCGGGUCUACAGACUGUUGAGGGGGCAAAGUAGGAGCCUGAGGAGAGGAGGCCAGGCGACCCUGCCUCCCUCCGAGGCCCGCGCUUCCGAAUUCUGCUCGGCGUCCGGGCGUUCGCGCCCUCCUGGGGCCUCGGCCUUCUGAGGCGAAGGGGCCAGGGGAGGCCCGGGUUAGCGAGGCCAUGUCCGGCUCUGGCCUGCGCGGCCCCGCUCGUUCCACGUCAGCGCUUUGUCACUCCCGGCCGAGGGCCUGCGCGCCGCCGCCAAGUACUCCCGAGGCGCUGGCCGAUGUGGGAUGGUGCAGGACUUCUGGGGGCCACAAUUGCUCCUUUUCCUAGAGAUGUGACCCAAGGUGAGCUGUUACACCCUCUUCCUGGCAGCCUGUGCUCCCACCCCGGAAUCCUGCACUUCUUCUCUGUCCUGCCUCUCCAGUUUGCUUCUACUCCACUGGCUGCAGCAACUACCCCACACACAUCAUGGAGCAGAAUGCAAAAUUGGCCAAAGAGAAAACACACAACUACUAAGAAUGUUCAGAGUGGCCCUGGUGGCGAGUGUGCAUUCAUUCUGCAGUGGAAAGUUCUGAGAAGCAGGGGCCUGGUGGGUUGAGAGGCCAGGCGUGAUGAGGGCACUGUCUCCAGGAGGCCCUGGUAAAGUAUCCCCGUAUUACCUGGGAGCAGUUAGCCCAUCGAUCUACCCAGUGGCUCUUCACUAGAGCGUCCCGACACGCCAGACAUCAGUCAUCUGUGAUUACUGACCGCCGCUGCCUCAGCCAAGCAUCUUCCCUUCGUUGUUUCUCUUUUCCUUUCCAACGUUCUUAUAAAGGUAUUGAUUAUUCCCAUUUUACAGAUGGGGAAACUGGAGAAUAGAGAGCUUUAAAUCAUUUGUUCAAGGUCACUCAGCUGGUAGGUUACGGACCUGGGAUUUGAUCUUAGGUCAUCCCUCAAACAGCAUCUGUCCCGUUUGCUCGCGGUCCAAUAUGAGUUUCUCUCUCUCCCCCUAAUUGGCUGUUUUAUGUUGGAGAGAAAAGGGUAGAGUCACAGCGGAGACUUGAUACUUGGCCUCAGUCUGUCACCCUCCCUGGGAGACGAAGGGUAUUGAGAAGGUGAGGGUCACUGCUGAGGGACUCCGGCAGCCGGCCACAGGUGGGCGUCCUGGGGAAGCUGAGGGCUAGAUGCGCGGGGCUCGGAGAGAGCACCGGAGGGCAGAAGGACAGCUGUGCAGGGGGACAGACCCAUAAGACCACUAAAGUAAGCCAGAGUGAGGUAGACGAGCAAAGGCUAGGAGAAGGAAGGUAAGCGACAGACAGAUAUUUGGGAGGACUAGAGGAGGGGUAGGUGGAGGGGCAGCAGUGGAGUCUGCUGUGUUCAUGUCUUCCCAGUGGACACAGGGGAGAGAGCCUCUUCCCCAGCUCUUGGCAUCUCCUGAGCUAACCCUUGGGCUUCUGGCCCUCCACCAGCAGGUGUAGGGCCGUGG